rnacentral:rRNA from 1 species
CCUACGGGUGGCAGCAGUGAGGCAUAUUGGUCAAUGGCCGAGAGCCUGAACCAGCCAAGUCGCGUGAGGGAAGACGGUCCUACGGGUUGUAAACCUCUUUUGCCGGGGAGCAAAGAGAGUCACGUGUGACGCCUUGAGAGUACCCGAAGAAAAAGCAUCGGCUAACUCCGUGCCAGCAGCCGCGGUAAUACGGGGGAUGCGAGCGUUAUCCGGAUUUAUGGGGUUUAAGGGGUGCGCAGGCGGAGGGGCAAGUCAGCGGUAAAAUUGCGUGGCUCAACCCCGUACAGCCGUUGAAACUGGAUACCUUGAGUGAGCGAGAAGAAUGAGGAAUGCGUGGUGUAGCGGUGAAAUGCGUAGAUAUCAGGAGGAACACCAGUGGCGAAGGCGGCUUACUGGAGUGUAACUGACGCUGAGGCUCGAAAGCGUGGGUAGCAAACAGGAUUAGAUACCCGAGUAGUC